UGUUCUAUGGCCGAACGAACUGGUAAAGGCAUUACCGAUCACAGGCAAGGUUGCGGGUUCGAGUCCCGCUGGAACGG
rfam:Operophtera brumata OBRT01_Sc03261, whole genome shotgun sequence.